UGCAGCCGUGUCAAAUUCGGUGCCUGCCGCACCCAUGGUCGGCUCUGGCCAGAAGGCUGCCAUCGAAACACCGUGACUCAUGGGCCUUAGGGAUACACUUGGUUACAGACACCG
ensembl:snoRNA